UAAUACAGAGGGGGCAAGCGUUGUUCGGAAUUACUGGGCGUAAAGGGCGCGUAGGCGGCCUGCUAAGUCGAACGUGAAAUCCCUGGGCUCAACCCAGGAACUGCGUCCGAUACUGGUUGGCUUGAAUCCGGGAGAGGGAUGUGGAAUUCCAGGUGUAGCGGUGAAAUGCGUAGAUAUCUGGAGGAACACCGGUGGCGAAGGCGACAUCCUGGACCGGUAUUGACGCUGAGGC
rnacentral:rRNA from 1 species